CCAUUUCCUUCUCCAAUGCAUGAAAGUGAAAAGUGAAAGUGAAGUUGCUCAGUCGUGUCCGACUCUUAGCGACCCCAUGGAUUGCAGCCUAACAGGCUCCUCCGUCCAUGGGAUUUUCCAAGCAAGAGUACUGGAGUGGGGUGCCAUUACCUUCUCCAUCCAUCAGUCUAAGCCCAGAAAAAAUGAAAUACAGAACUUUAUUUGGGACUUCAGUGCAUAGAAAUAAUCUUGACACAUUUCAAUUCAGCUCCUGCCUUUCUCAAGGCUAUUGUCUCCAUCGGAGGAGAGGACUUGAGGUCCCUUCCCCCUUCCCAGAACAUCUCUUGAGGUUUUAUUCUCUCUCCCAGUCAGCAACCAAGGGGAGUAUCCCUUACAAGGAAGGGUCAGGGCACUUUUAAGAGGUGGCAUUUGUCAGCCAAGACAACAUUUUUUUAAUUUUUUACUGAACCUCAGUUUAAGGAAGAGAGUUCCUGGUGGGGUUUCUACUCUAUCCCCUCACCGCCCCCACCCCAGGUCCUACAUGAAGCCAGCUGGCUCUCUAGGGAAAUCUGCACUGUAAUAUCAGUUUACUUCUUAUUGGCCCUUUGAUAGCAGAUAAGGGGCUUUGUGAUGCUCUUGAUCUGAGAUUCCUUUAAAAACCUCAAAUCAGAAAAAAAAAAAAGUAUAUCUUCUCCUCCUGUCGACUUCUCUCUGUGAGUGAAAGGGCACUGAGCAAGGGGUCGGUUUGGGAAACAAUGGCCUUGACCACUGAGCAGUGUUUAGUCCUGAGUGUGCAGGGGGUGUACCUAAAGCUUAAAGUCAUUCUGGUGCCGGUUGUUUCUGGUUGGGCAGGCAGCAGCCUCGCAGCCCAGACGGAGUGAGGGGAAGGGGUGGGGCUGUGCCAGAAGCAGGGGGCGCGGGGCUCCUCUGCUCACCCCCUACAUCAGUGAGACCCGCACUUCGCCCCACGUGUACAUCUCCAUCCCAUUCCGGGGAAGGUGGGGCUAUGGGGGCCGCGGGAACUGGGCGGAGGGCUGCCAGCUCCCGGCAGGCCCCAGCUGCCAGCCAGCCCAAGGGGAGCCCGCCCCCUAGGGGAGGGCGUAGCAAGUGCAGGCUCCUCGGUGCCCCUGCCCCGGCCCCGCCCAAGCACCUGGAGCAGGCAGGUGAGGCCGCUGCCGGGGUCCCCCGGGACCGAAGGGGACUCUUUGGGGGUCCUCGGGGACAAUCACAGGAAGCGAUCCUCCGGAAGAAGCUGGACAGGAGGACUUCUUGAACAAACCUGGGGGUUCUUUCUGGAGGGACACCCCCGCCCCAGGUGUCCAGCGGAGCUUGCGGCGCUCCGGCCCCUGGGGAUCGAUCGGCUGGCUGGCGACGCGCCGCCGCGGCUCCGGAGCCACCGCCCCCUCCCCCACCCUGGCUACGCAGGACGCGGCCUCGGAGCAGCGUCCUGGCGGUUGCGGGCCGCGGCCGGACCCGGCUCCAGGCCAGCCGCGAAGGCGGAGACCGACCGGCUCCUUCCGAUCGCUCCGGCCUCGCCACUCCUGGGUUGGCUGGGACGAUGAGGGGGAGGAGAGCGAGCCCAGCUUCCCCGGCCGCGGCGCUCGCCACCCCACCCCCGCUCCUCCUCCGUCGCCAACUACCCACUCCUGCGCGCGCUUAACCCUCAGCGCGCCGCGAGGCCGGGACGGGGGCGCGCACUGGGCUGGGGGGAGGGUGGGGUAGCAGUUACGCUUCGGCUGACUACAACUUCGGGGUGCGCCUGGAGAUUUUAAUUUCAUUCCGGGGUUUGCUGCAGCAGCUCUUGGUUGGAAAAAGGAAAGAAAGAAAUCUGCCUUGUGUGUGGGCCCCGCAGGGUUUGGGGGGCGCAACGGAAGCACCCGAGAGCAAAACGCAGGGGCGAGUGUAAGUGGGGAGAACCUCGUAGGCACUGGAGACCUGCGGGGAGUC
rnacentral:lncRNA from 1 species